rnacentral:rRNA from 1 species
GACGAAGGUGGCGAGCGUUACUCGGAAUUACUAGGCGUAAAGCGUGGGCAGGUGGUUUGAUAAGUCCGUUGUGAAAGCCCCGGGCUUAACCCGGGGAGGUCAAUGGAUACUGUCGGACUUGGAUAUGGGAGAGGUGACUGGAAUUCCUGGUGUAGCGGUGAAAUGCGUAGAUAUCAGGAGGAACACCGAUGGCGAAGGCAGGUCACUGGACCAUUAUCGACGCUCAUCCACGAAAGCUGGGGGAUCAAACAGG